rnacentral:rRNA from 1 species
GGAACUCGCUUCCUGAGCUGACGACAGCCGCAGAAACCAGGCCGCUGCAACUGUUUAUUAAAAACAUAGCACUCUGCAAACACGAAAGUGGACGUAUAGGGUGUGAUGCCUGCCCGGUGCUGGAAGGUUAAUUGAUGGGGUUAGCGUAAGCGAAGCUCUUGAUCGAAGCCCCAGUAAACGGCGGCCGUAACUAUAACGGUCCUAAGGUAGCGAAAUUCCUUGUCGGGUAAGUUCCGACCUGCACGAAUGGCAUAAUGAUGGCGGCGCUGUCUCCAGCAGAGGCUCAGUGAAAUCGAAAUCGCUGUGAAGAUGCAGUGUACCCGCGGCUAGACGGAAAGACCCCGUGAACCUUUACUGCAGCUUGACACUGAACUUUGACCUUACUUGUGUAGGAUAGGUGGGAGGCUUUGAAGCUGGAACGCUAGUUCCAGUGGAGCCGUCCUUGAAAUACCACCCUGGUAAUGUUGAGGUUCUAACUCUGUCCCGUGAUCCGGGACGAGGACCGUGUCUGGUGGGUAGUUUGACUGGGGCGGUCUCCUCCUAAAGAGUAACGGAGGAGUACGAAGGUGCGCUCAGCGUGGUCGGAAAUCACGCGUAGAGUAUAAAGGCAAAAGCGCGCUUAACUGCGAGACCCACAAGUCGAGCAGGUACGAAAGUAGGUCUUAGUGAUCCGGUGGUUCUGUAUGGAAGGGCCAUCGCUCAACGGAUAAAAGGUACUCUGGGGAUAACAGGCUGAUACCGCCCAAGAGUUCAUAUCGACGGCGGUGUUUGGCACCUCGAUGUCGGCUCAUCUCAUCCUGGGGCUGAAGCAGGUCCCAAGGGUAUGGCUGUUCGCCAUUUAAAGAGGUACGCGAGCUGGGUUUAGAACGUCGUGAGACAGUUCGGUCCCUAUCUACCGUGGGCGCUGGAAAUUUGAGAGGAUCUGCUCCUAGUACGAGAGGACCAGAGUGGACGAACCUCUGGUGUACCGGUUGUGACGCCAGUCGCAUCGCCGGGUAGCUAUGUUCGGAAGGGAUAACCGCUGAAAGCAUCUAAGCGGGAAGCCUACCUCAAGAUAAGAUUUCCCUAGGACUUUAUGUCCUCUAAAGAGCCGUUCGAGACUAGGACGUUGAUAGGUUGGAUGUGGAAGCAUAGUGAUAUGUGAAGCUGACCAAUACUAAUUGCUCGUGAGGCUUGACUAU